UUUACUCCCCCUUCUAUUACGGCGCGCAUGAAAUUACUACUGAUAUAGCUUUUUGCGAUUGUUUGAGGUUGGAGAUCAACGGGAUCUGAUAAAGAAGCUAUUCUUGAAAUAUUAGGGUUUUUCCACGGCUUUUCAUGAUUGUUUGAGGUUGAAGAUCAACAGAAUCUGAUUUGGAAGCUAUUCUUGAAAUAUUAGGGUUCUCCGACGGGGUUUUGGCAGGCUUUAGAGAAUCAAUCACUUGGAAGAUAACGAUUAUGUUCAGUACUACAUCAAUGGCGAUAAAGUUUGCACUAAAGAGGGAGUCCAAGGUAUUGGAGAGUGGCAUGCUUUGAGGUUAAUUAUUAAAAUUGGUACUUUGAGAUCUACUUCCUAGAAUGUCUUAGAUCAAGUAACGGAGGAAGCACCAAAAAGGUGAAGGUUUAUAAGUCCUAACGUGAUUUAGGGUUUAUUCCUUUUCUUUUUUUUGGAUGUAAAGGUUUGAUUUGCUGUGUUUUGAUUUUUACUGAAAGCCAGACGUGAUUUGGGUUUUGUGGACAAUAAGAUCAUAUACUCUUUUGAUGUCAUCGACAGAUGCACAAGUGUAUAAAGUAACGGUUUAUGGUGCAGACCCAUCAGGAAAAACAGAUAGCAACGAAAGCUCUGCAGCAAGCACUUUUUGACGCUUUUAAUGCGGCAACAACAAUGGCAAACGAAAAUGAUAAUGUUAAUGAGGCAUCUGCAAUCUUGGAGGUCCUUAAAUUAACCUCGAACAAAGUACACAUACUAUCAGCCGUCCUUUACAUUAACAACCCAUAGUAGUACAUUUCUAUAUGCCGAAUUCACCUGCAAAGAGAUGGCUAAUGCACGUAGUGAUAUUCUGCGAACAAUAAUACUUUUGGUUUAACAGAUCCAUGGAGGAUCAUUAUGGGCAUCUGAUAGACUCUUAAAUGAUGGAUUCACGCAUUGUUUUCAUCGAGAAAAACACACGGCUUGCUUGGUACUGCAGAACUUUGCUGAGAACUUAGCAGUCCAUACUCACUAACAUCCAUACUCCUAUCAUUCUUUUAUUUUUUGUUGCAUUAAAUUUUCAUGCGAAAUUAGCAUUUAGAAUUUUUUUGAAACAUGUAGGAUCGAGGAAAGGAAACUAUAGCAAACAUAUCCACGAGCCACACCAAAUUCAAGGUUUAGCAUACCGCCCCGCCUCACCAAAUUCAAGGUUUACUGAUCAAAAUCAUGCGACACCAAAAUCAAAAAUUCAUCUGGACGAGGCAAGGUGAAGCCGUGCGACACCAAAUCAAAAAUGCAUCCGAGCGAGGCGAAGCCGAGCCACACCAAAUCAAAUCGGGACGGGGCGAGACGAGGCGAAGCCGAGCUUUACCAAAUCAAAAACAUAGUUAAAAGAAAAAGAUGCAUGAUGCAUAGAAGACAUGGCCCAAAUGAUGGUGGAUGGUUUUGGGUUCCGCCCGAUGCUUUAUCAAAUCAUCCGGACUGGGCGAGGCGAAGCCGAGCUUUACCAAAUAAAAAUUACCAAGUAAUAAAUAUGGUUUAAAGAAAGAUGCAGUGAUGCGUAACUAUCCCAUUCUAUUUGUAGUUGUAGUUUGAAUGGGUGAACCAAGUUUGCGAAGCCGCCCGGACGUAGCACGGGCACAAAAUCUAGUUGUAAACUACAA